CACUCUAAAAAAAAAAGGUUCCUUGAGGUUCUAUAUAGAACCGUUGGGUUCUAUACUUGGCCAAUAGAACCUUUUACCAAAAAAAGGGUUCCAUAUAGAACCCUUGGAAGGCAAAGAACCAUUUUUAUUAAAAUGGUUCUAUAAUUCACGUUUUCUGACUGAAGUGUAAACUAAAGAUUACACAAUAAUUGCAGACCUACACAACUCAUUUACAAACCUACACAACUCAUUCACAAACCUUUUUGUGUCAAUAGGCUGUGGUCAAAAAAAGAGAGAGUCAACAAAUAGGCUAUUAAUAUUUAGUGUAUGAUUUAUUUCCUGUGAGCUUUUUUAUGCAAGUUUGUACAUUAGCAUGAAACUUACAGUGCAGUUUGCGUUUCUGGUGAAUUAUCAGGUGUUUUCUUUAUUUUGUACAUUCUAUAUUGUCAAUGUUUGUUUAAUUUAACCUGAAGGGGCAUUAAAAACAAAUAAUCGCAAAAGUGCCCUCUGGUGGCGUAUAUAUGCGUUGCACCAGAAGAUGAGCCUCGUGACGUGACAGUUUUUUUUCAAACUGAGGUGAGGAGUUCGGACUCCGGACCGGCAUUUCUGCUUGUUUGUACCCUGUCCAUGAGAUAACCAUGGUUAAUAAAUGGUCAGACACGUCACUGGCUUUUAAAUAUAAACCCCAUUGAUGCAAAAAGAUGCUGCAUGGAAUGACAAUGAGGUUUGGAACAGACUUGGUGAAGAACAUGGAAACAUCUCUAAAUAAAAUGGCGCCAAACAUCAUCAGGAGUGCAAAAGAAGGAUGUAAAAAACAUCUCUACGCCAAUCUCAUUGGAGAGGAAACCACAGAAGGUCUGGUGAGGAAUGCUGCACUUCUGUUAUUGCAAGCAUUAUUUCAAGAAAAUCCCAGCUUCCUUUACUGUGUAAAUAGUGAACCCAAAGGUCCCACACCAACCAUAGUGUUCAACGGCUCUCCUGAUCUUCUCAAAUCUGAAAGUAUCAACUGUAUAAUGGACAAUGUGAACUUAAUAUGUGGAAGACAUUGACAUCACAGGCUGUGGAAUGACUGUGUCACAGGUCGGAGAAGCGGACCGCCCCUGUCGCGGAUCACGCUCCUCCUAGUUCCACCUUGAGGAGGUCCCAAAGCACCCCAAUGACCAGACAAACCAGAGAUAAGUAAAAUAUAAAAAUAGAAACUUUAUUUAAAUUAUCUAAAACUAAAGUGGGGAAUGGGAAAGGGAAUCUAAAAAUCUCGCUUCUCGCCCUCAGGGGGAGUAUUAAGGGGCCAGGGACGUGGGAUUUCCACGUGACUCCACCUCGAACACCGCUACAGAGCGUAUCUGGCUGGGUUGGGCACACACCGUCGCGGCGGCCCCUGAUGGCAUCCACAAAGGUCCAAGACCCUCCUAAGGUGAGUACGGACGACAAGGACACAGCACACAUCUUCAAGAAAGCUUUGUGUAUUUCCGUUUCAAGAGGUUCUUACUUGACUGUUGAACAGUGUUUCUUCUCUCUCCACAGCUUCUAGCCGUAGCAGAAAUACGUAUUUCAGCACCCGAACGACUAACAACUCAGCCGGCAUCUGCAGCGUAUAUCCAACGCGAUCAAACUUCACUCUGACAAUUAACUUCCUAUACACAACCACGCCGUCCUUUCGCCCGGACCAGCCCCGCACUCUUUCCGCCCGCUACCUAGCGGUCGCCGGAUCAGCAGAGCCUGCGGACUCUUCGGAGGCUGGUCUUCGUUGUGCUGCCCAAGGCGGAAGUUUACUUCCAGUAACUUCUACCUUCUCUCUUUAUAUCCCCAACCAUCGCUCGCCACGUCACUCACACAGCUGUGCCUUGUUUCAGCGAGUGCGGGGAUUCCCGGGGAACCCGGAAGUGCCGGUGUCUGUACAAACUGGUCCGGGCGGAACCUCUUCACUCUCCUUUUGGUUCCGCCCCGCAUAGUCACUCUGUGACAACUGUUUGCGUUUUUUUUUCUCCUCAAUGUUCAAUACCCUUUUGCCAUAAAGCACACAGUGACUUUAAUUUAUAAAAUAUAUGCUUAAGUUUUAAUACCUGUACAAAACAAAUGUACAAUCAACUUGUGUAAAUUGUCAUUCUAUUUAAUAGAUUGUUCAUGAAUUGUCUUUAAAUGCAUUGUGAUUUCGGUAACACUUUACAAUAAGGUUCAUUAGUUAACAUUAGUUAAUGUAUUAACUAACUUGAACAAACCAUGAGCAAUACAUUUGUUACAGUAUUUAUUCAUCUUUGUUAAUGUUAGUUAAUUCAAAUUUAAGCUUUAAUUGCUUGUUCAUGUUAGUUCAGAG